rnacentral:sRNA from 1 species
AGGUUCGGGUCGAGCCUUGCGAGACAACGCGCUUCAGCGCGGCCCGAAGGGUGAGGCGCAACGCGCCGAAUAAUCCUUCUCCCGCCGCCC